AUUGAACGCUGGCGGCAGGCCUAACACAUGCAAGUCGAACGAGUGGCGGACGGGUGAGUAAUGUCUGGGAAACUGCCUGAUGGAGGGGGAUAACUACUGGAAACGGUAGCUAAUACCGCAUACCAUCAGAUGUGCCCAGAUGGGAUUAGCUUGUUGGUGGGGUAACGGCUCACCAAGGCGACGAUACCUAGCUGGUCUGAGAGGAUUACCAGCCAAACUGGAACUUAGACACGGUCCAGACUCCUACGGGAGGCAGCAGGUGGGAAUAUUGCACACUGGGCGCAAGCCUGAUGCAGCCAUGCCGCGUGUAUGAAGAAGGUCUCCGGGUUGUAAAGUACUUUCAGCGGGUAGGCGUUACCCGCAGAAGAAGCACCGGCUAACUCUGUGCCAGCAGCCGCGUUACUUC
rnacentral:rRNA from 1 species